rnacentral:rRNA from 1 species
GAUGAACGCUGGCGGCGUGCCUAAUACAUGCGAGUCGAGCGAACAGACGAGGAGCUUGCUCCUCUGACGUUAGCGGCGGACGGGUGAGUAACACGUGGAUAACCUACCUAUAAGACUGGGAUAACUUCGGGAAACCGGAGCUAAUACCGGAUAAUAUAUUGAACCGCAUGGUUCAAUAGUGAAAGACGGUUUUGCUGUCACUUAUAGAUGGAUCCGCGCCGCAUUAGCUAGUUGGUAAGGUAACGGCUUACCAAGGCAACGAUGCGUAGCCGACCUGAGAGGGUGCUCGGCCACACUGGAACUGAGACACGGUCCAGACUCCUACGGGAGGCCGCAGUAGGGAAUCUUCCGCAAUGGGCGAAAGCCUGACGGAGCAACGCCGCGUGAGUGAUGAAGGUCUUCGGAUCGUAAAACUCUGUUAUUAGGGAAGAACAAAUGUGUAAGUAACUAUGCACGUCUUGACGGUACCUAAUCAGAACGCCACCUCUAACUACG